rnacentral:rRNA from 1 species
GAUGAACGCUGGCGGCGUGCCUAAUACAUGCAAGUCGAGCGAACAGACGAGGAGCUUGCUCCUCUGACGUUAGCGGCGGACGGGUGAGUAACACGUGGAUAACCUACCUAUAAGACUGGGAUAACUUCGGGAAACCGGAGCUAAUACCGGAUAACAUUUUGAACCGCAUGGUUCAAAAGUGAAAGACGGUCUUGCUGUCACUUAUAGAUGGAUCCGCGCCGCAUUAGCUAGUUGGUAAGGUAACGGCUUACCAAGGCAACGAUGCGUAGCCGACCUGAGAGGGGGAUCGGCCACACUGGAACUGAGACACGGUCCAGACUCCUACGGGAGGCAGCAGUAGGGAAUCUUCCGCAAUGGGCGAAAGCCUGACGGAGCAACGCCGCGUGAGUGAAGAAGGUCUUCGGAUCGUAAAACUCUGUUAUUAGGGAAGAACAUAUGUGUAAGUAACUGUGCACAUCUUGACGGUACCUAAUCAGAAAGCCACGGCUAACUACGUG